ACCCCAAUGACCCCUAGUGUCCUCUGUCAUGGAUCAACCCCAAUACCCCCUAGUGUCCUCUGUCAAUGGAUCAACCCCAAUACCGUCUAGGAUCAAC